rnacentral:rRNA from 1 species
UACAGAGGGUGCAAGCGUUGUUCGGAAUUAUUGGGCGUAAAGGGAGUGUAGGCGGUUUGUUAAGUCUUCUGUGAAAUCUACGGGCUUAGCCUGUAAAGUGCAGAGGAAACUGGCAAGCUUGAGUGUCGGAGAGGGUAGUGGAAUUCCCGGUGUAGAGGUGAAAUUCGUAGAUAUCGAGAGGAACAUCGGUGGCGAAGGCGGCCUUCUGGACAGUGACUGACGCUGAGACGCGAAAGCGUGGGGAGCAAACAGG